AACGAACGCUGGCGGCAUGCCUAACACAUGCAAGUCGAACGAGACCUUCGGGUCUAGUGGCGCACGGGUGCGUAACGCGUGGGAACCUGCCCUUAGGUUCGGAAUAACCCCCCGAAAGGGGUGCUAAUACCGGAUAAUGUCUUCGGACCAAAGAUUUAUCGCCUUUGGAUGGGCCCGCGUUGGAUUAGCUAGUUGGUAGGGUAAAAGCCUACCAAGGCGACGAUCCAUAGCUGGUCUGAGAGGAUGAUCAGCCACACUGGGGCUGAGACACGGCCCAGACUCCUACGGGAGGCAGCAGUGGGGAAUAUUGGACAAUGGGCGAAAGCCUGAUCCAGCAAUGCCGCGUGAGUGAUGAAGGCCUUAGGGUUGUAAAGCUCUUUUACCCGGGAUGAUAAUGACAGUACCGGGAGAAUAAGCGCCGGCUAACUCCGUG
rnacentral:rRNA from 1 species